CCUACGGGAGGCUGCAGUGGGGAAUAUUGGACAAUGGGGGGAACUCUGAUCCAGCGACGCCGCGUGAGUGAAGAAGUAUUUCGGUAUGUAAAGCUCUAUCAGCAGGGAAGAAAAUGACGGUACCUGACUAAGAAGCCACGGAUAACAACGUGCCAGCAGGCGAGGGCACACGGAGGGGGCAAGCGUUAUCCGGAUUUACUGGGUGUAAAGGGAGCGUAGACGGUGCAGCAAGUCUGAUGUGAAAGGUCGGGGCCCAACCCCGGGACUGCAUUGGAAACUGGUGAACUUGAGUACAGGAGAGGUAAGCGGAAUUCCUAGUGUAGCGGUGAAAUGCAUAGAUAUUAGGAGGAACACCAGUGGCGAAGGCAGCUUACUGGACUUUAACUGACGUUGAGGCUCGAAAGCGUGGGGAGCGAACAGGAUUAGAUACCCGUGUAGUC
rnacentral:rRNA from 1 species